rnacentral:misc_RNA from 1 species
CAACCCUCAAACCCCACGGUUUGGUGUUGGAGAUCGGCAAUCGUCUUCUUCGGAGGACGCGCCGUCUCCCAAAUCUAUUGGCGGUCACGCUGUAGCUUCCUAUGCGUAGUAGCACACCUCGCACUGGAAAGCAGCGCGGCCACGCCGUUAAACCCCCCACUUUCUGAA